CGCCCGGGGCCUUCUUCGGGGUGGCCGGGAGCCAACUUUCUGGGGAGUUGGUGGCCUGGAAUCUCAUUGGGAUUUCUGGAGUUCCCUGGAGCCUCCAGUGCCAGAGUCGCGCCUUUCAGCAGCCUGGGGAGGCCGCGGGAGAGGGCCGGGUCUCCUCCCCGCAACGGUCCUGCCAGCCAAGCACCCUUGGCCCUGGGGAGCCCAAGGCCGUGCCAGGCCGGCCUGGUUUUCUUGCCUCAGCUCCAUGGCGCCUAGUUUCUUUGGACUUGCUCCUUCUGAGCCUUUUUUUCCUCCGCAGUAAAAGCGAGGGGCAGCAGGAGGGAGACCGGGCUACCUACCUCACCAGACGCUCCACAAAUGCCAGUUGACUUCUCCAGCUGCGGCGUUGAGAAGCUGCAGUGUCUGGCAGGCCGGACCCAGCGUCCACGACAGACUUGGGAGACUUGCAGUGCCUCUACCUCAGCCCCUGCCCUGCCUUCUUUGCAAACCUGAUGUGUUUAUAGAGCAGAAGAAGGGCUUGACGUAUUUUUUUUUUUCCACUAAGAAAAUCUGUUGUAGAAAACCACUGUGUGCAUGGUGGUGCCAUGAGACCUUCUAACAAAGCGAGGCCAAUAAGGAUGGGACAUGUUUGGAGUAUUUGUAUCCUGCCUCAUACUGGCCCAGUGACCUGGCCAAAUUCUCUCUACUUUGCCUCUGUCUCCUAAUGGUAUAAUGGGAAGGAGGAGAGUUUGAAUUAGAUGUCCCUAAUGUGAGCUAAAAUAGCUGAUUUUUAGGCCAAUAUCUGUUGUAGAUGUUAGGGAAGUAUGUGGCUCCCUCUCCUGAAGCAGCCCCGCUUCAAAGUACAUUAGGACUGGAAAAGUGCUUCUGGCAGCAGAUGAGGCCUGGGGUACCCACUAUAUUUGAGCUACUUAGCUCCCUGAGGCCGGGAUUUACCCUUUCACCUUUCACCCCAUUUGGCCAGAGCAGUUAAUGCUUUGCUUUGCCUCAGGCCACCCAGGGAGGGCCUGGAGUAGUUCUGGGCACCCUGGCAGGAUGUGGUUGGGGAAAACAGUGAUUUCCCCUGGCUUCUGUCCAACCUGUCAAAGUGGGGGACAGCUCCGAUGCAGGUCAGGACUAUUCCUGGGGAUUUGAUUCCCAAUAUCUCCUGCAUGCCAGGCAGGGUGCCAAACUCUUCCGGGGCAAAGCUGAACAGGCCACCAGGCCCUUCCCUCUAGCUGUUCCCAUUGUUUGUCUGUGAGUUUCAUUUUCAAAUUCUCAGGCACAAUGACUUUAAAAAGAGCAAUGCCUGGCUUCAGCCUGGGUCAGGGCUGCAGAAGCAAAAGUAACAGGACUCAGCAGGCUCACGCCUUCUGAACAAAAAUAGGAGAAGCAGAGGAGCUUCCUGAAAACCGCGUUGGGGGCACCCUUGUCUUGAGAGAAUUCACAAGGAAAAGGGAAGCCCCUUUCCUCAGCCUCCAGCCCCAUCAUCCCUCCUUCACUCAUUGGUCUAAGGGUUAGGGGAUGAGGAUAGGAGACCGGCUUCAACAGAGCCCUAUUCAAGAAAGAAUGCAACAGAUUGCUGGGUCCAGGCUCUUGGGCAUUUCUGCCUCCUGAGAUCGACCCUGGCCCCACUUUUAGAUCCUGCUGGACACUGCCUAGAUGACUUCUAUCUGGAAACUACCCAGUUCAAGCCAAGUCUUCUGGCCUCUGGUGACUUUCCCUUUUGGUAUCAUUGGGAGGAUAUGCACAAGCAUCAUGGACAACAGACAGAAAUGUGUUACUCUUAUGCUAGGUGGUCACUUCACCUCUCUGAAUGUUGGUUUUUUUCACCUGUAAGAUGGGGAUAUUAUUAUUCACACAUAGGUACUAUGGGACUCCAAAGAGAUUUGCAUAAAGAAUUCAGUACAGUACCAGGCACAUAUUAACAGUAGCUAUAGUUCCAUGAUGUGGACACAAUGUGACACAGGAGCCAACUGAGGCUUAGAGGGGUUAAGUUACUGCCCAGGGUACUACAGUAUCAGAAGCUCAAUAACUUCCUCUUUGGUCACAUAAGUAUCUCUGUUCUUUUGUUGUUUCAAAUGUAUGGAUCCUGGUUUUCCUUUAGACUGUAUACUCUUUAAGGAAAAGACAGUAGAUCAGCUGUUCUUUUUUCCCCCUGCUACUAACCCAGUCCACUAAAAAAAAAAAAAAAAAAAAAAAAAAAAAAAUCUUAUUGAACUUGAAUAAGUAUCAAUUCCAGAAGCAAAAUUAAUCCUUUCCCUCCUCCUCUGGCUCAAAGAUGACUUUUGGAAACCCAUGUCACUCCUUUUAUUACAAACUCCUCUGCCCUCCUCCAGGCGCCUGGGCCACUCCGGGAUUACAAAUGGAGCCUUCUGCCUCUAGGUCACUGAUUCCGCUACCAUCUGUCAGCACCGAUUGAUUGAGUAGACUGGCCCUGCUCUGCAGAUCAGUGACUUGUGCGAAGUGAGCCGGGGUGUUGGUGCCUUCGGCAGCAGGCUGAUGUUCUUCCUCUCACUCACUGGCUCUUGAGCAUGCAAACAGCCCUCACCUUUAUCCUUCACCAGCCCUGGAUCUCCUUCCCCUUGGGAGGGGCCAGCUGCUCACAACCCCAGCACACCAAGAGGGAAGCCUGAAAGCCCUGCUUCUCAAGCCUGAGCCCCAGGCUCCGCUCUCAGUCUUCCAGAAGAUGAGGAGACUGAGGCACGGAGCAGUGAGGAGGAAUCAGAGCUGGAAUCUGAACACAGGCUAGUGGGCUGCAGAGCCCCUGCAUCUUCGCUUUAUCAUGAGAUAACAAUAGGGAGGUUCCUUUCCAUUGGGAUUAUUUCUGCUUGAAAGCACAAGACUUUUAGCCACAUCAUUGUCUGGGCUCCACAGGAAGGCAGUGCCACAUGCUGAGGCAUGCUGGGAAAAGACUUUGUUCCAUCCUGUUUUGUUGACAUGCUCUUCAUUUUUAAGCCUGAAACCCAAGCUUCCUGCUAAGAUUUCAAAUCGUGGAGAAAAAACCCAACCAUGAUAAUGGCCACGACUUCCUAAGCCUCCAGUGUGCCCUGUGCUUGGGGCUCCAGAUAUGUCAUUUAACCUCAACCUUCACAAUGACAGGAGCAGCCCCCAGAACACAGCUGGAGAAACUGGAGGUCAGAGUUGCUAAGAUGCCUAAAGGCUGGCCCAGGAUGCAGGUGUGGUGUGGCCCUGGAUGCUGCCUUCUCCGACAGCGGGAGCUGAGAGACAGGGAUGCCCAUGCUCCCUCCUCUCGCUCCCUCCAGUGACUCAGGAUAGCCACCCUGCUGUGCUUAAAAAGGCACCAGUCUUCUGGAAGGAGCCCCACCACUGAGGAUCCUCAUCGAUGCCUGUCUCCCCACCAGCUCCUGGGGAUAACCGCCAGAGCAGGUGUGCCCUGCCUCAGGACCAGCACAGCAGGAGUGGGGGCUCCUCCGACCCUCAGCCAGUCCUUGACUACAGCCUCUUUUCCCAGCCCACCCAUCCCUGCAGCCGACUCAUUUCCACCCCAAACCAGCUUUGACCUUACUCUCCCUGGAUCAGUGGUUUUCAGUGGGUGCCGAGGACGUUUGUUCCUGUCUUGGAAGGCAAAGCCCUCUUCUGGCUCAGCUCACCUUUCCCACCUUCACUCCUGCCUCUCAGUCUGUCUCUUCGCGACUAAACAGACUGUUCCUGUCCCGAGCCUGCCUGUCCCCAAGGGAGAAAUGUCCUUUCCUUUUCUUUACAGAUAAAAGCUACCCUCUUUCACAUCUUACUCAGAUGCCACCUUCCCCA